rnacentral:sRNA from 1 species
AUUUCCGGUCCAGGGGGUUUGGCUCUCCGCGGCACGGGAUUUAGCGUUCGCGCUCCUUCCCUUCCCGUGGUGGAGCUGAGUCCUGACAUGGGGGCUGCAUCAAGAUCUUGUCAUUCCACAUCAUGGUUUCCUUUGAGGACGUGGCUGUACCCCUGUCCCAGGAGGAGUGGGACUGUCUGAUCCCUGCUCAGAGGGGCCUCUACAAGGAUGUGAUGAUGGAGACCUAUGGGAACCUAGUCUCACUAGGACUUCAAGCUUCCAAACCUGAUGUAAUCUCCAGGCUGGAGCAGGGGGACGAACCAUGGACCCCUCACAUCCUGAGAACUUGGGGGAGCUGGAGCUGGAGGCACAAGAGAGAAGGCUAUGAUUCUAGGAUUGAAAAAGAGGAACUGAUUCCAAAGCAGGACAUUUCCAAAGAAUUGGAAUCCCAGAGAGCAAAAUCAGAAGAUCAUGUAAGGAAUAUUUUUAAGGAAACUGAAGAGAUGAGUAAAACUGAGGGAAAGUUAGAGAAUUGCUGGAGAAAAUAUGCAGUAGAAGGAGUUAAGAACUCAUUCUCCCAGAAGCACAAUUUCAGAGAAAUUACCAUGAGGUAUGUGAAA